rnacentral:rRNA from 1 species
UACGGAGGGUGCGAGCGUUAAUCGGAUUAACUGGGCGUAAAGGGCACGCAGGCGGGCUUUUAAGUGAGGUGUGAAAGCCCCGGGCUCAACCUGGGAAUAGCAUUUGAGACUGGUGGUCUAGAGUACUGUAGAGGGGGGUGGAAUUCCAGGUGUAGCGGUGAAAUGCGUAGAUAUGUGGAAGAACACCGAUGGCGAAGGCAGCUCACUGGGAUUGUACUGACGCUGAUGUGCGAAAGCGUGGGGAGCAAACAGG